rnacentral:tRNA from 1 species
AUAAAGUUUUGGAAACAAAAGAUUUUGAACAUCUUUAAAGGGAUUCGACUUCCCACUAUGCU